UACGUAGGGGGCGAGCGUUGUCCGGAUUCAUUGGGCGUAAAGCGCGCGCAGGCGGUCGUUUAAGUCGAAUGUGAAAGCCCCCGGCUCAACUGGGGAGGGUCAUUCGAUACUGAUCGACUUGAAGGCAGGAGAGGGAAGUGGAAUUCCGGGUGUAGUGGUGAAAUGCGUAGAUAUCCGGAGGAACACCAGUGGCGAAGGCGACUUCCUGGCCUGUUCUUGACGCUGAGGCGCGAAAGCUGGGGGAGCAAACGGG
rnacentral:rRNA from 1 species